rnacentral:rRNA from 1 species
UACGAAGGGUGCAAGCGUUAAUCGGAAUUACUGGGCGUAAAGGGUGCGUAGAUGGCCUUUUAAGUCAGCUGUGAAAUCCCCGGGCUUAACCUGGGACCUGCAGCUGAUACUGGAAGGCUUGGAGUCUGAGAGAGGGUGGUAGAAUUCCUGGUGUAGCGGUGAAAUGCGUAGAGAUCAGGAGGAAUACUAGUGGCGAAGGCGGCCACCUGGCUUAAGACUGACGUUGAGGCACGAAAGCGUGGGGAGCAAACAGG